rnacentral:rRNA from 1 species
UAUGCUUGUCUCAAAGAUUAAGCCAUGUAUGUCCAAGUACAAGCCGAAAUAAGGUGAAACCGCGAAUGGCUCAUUAAAUCACACUUAAUGUACUGGACAGUAUGCAGUUACUUGGAUAACUGCGGUAAUUCUGGAGCUAAUACAUGCAUUCAAGCCCUGACUAUUGCAAAAUAUGUGAGGUGCGUUUAUUAGAUCAAAACCAAACAGUCUUGGCUGUUGGAUGGUGAUUCUGAAUAACUUUGGGCUGAUCGCAUGGCUCUACGCCGGCGACGUGUCCAUCCAAAGUGUGACCUAUCAACUGUCGAUUGUGGUAUAGACGACCACAAUGGUUUUGACGGGUAACGGGGAAUCAGGGUUCGAUUCCGGAGAGGGAGCCUGAGAAACGGCUACCACUUCUAAGGAAGGCAACAGGCACGCAAAUUACCCAAUGGCCGAUGGCCGAGGUAGUGACGAAAAAUAACGAUACCGGACUCAAUUGAGGCCUGGUAAUCGGAAUGAGCACAAUUUAAAUCCUUUAGCGAGGAACAAUUGGAGGGCAAGUCUGGUGCCAGCAGCCGCGGUAAUUCCAGCUCCAAUAGCGUAUAUUAAAGUUGUUGUUGUUAAAAAGCUCGUAGUUGGAUCUUGGUGAGCUCGGGACCCGACUCGUUACGAUGUCGUGUGUCAUUUAUGCUCGCGAUAUUUUGGUGGAAGUUCGUAGGUGCUCUUAACCGAGUGUCUGCGGAUGCCGCCAGGUUUACUUUGAAAAAAUUAGAGUGCUCAAAGCAAGCUUGACACGCUUGAAUAUUUGUGCAUGGAAUAAUGGAAUAGGACGUCGUUCCUAUUUUGUUGGUUUUCGGGAAUCGACGUAAUGAUUAACAGGGACAGUCGGGGGCAUUGGUAUCCAGACGUCAGAGGUGGAAUUCUUGGACCGUGUGAAGACUAACAACUGCGAAAGCAUUUGCCAAGAAUGUUUUCAUUAAUCAAGAACGAAAGUUAGAGGUUCGAAGGCAAUCAGAUACCGCUGUAGUUCUAACCAUAAACGAUGCCAGCCAGCGAUCUGCAAGUGUUUGAUUUUCAAGACUUUGCAGGCAGCUUCCGGGAAACCAAAGCUUAUGGGUUCCAGGGGAAGUAUGGUUGCAAAGCUGAAACUUAAAGGAAUUGACGGAAAGGCACCACCAGGGGUGGAGCUUGCGGCUUAAUUUGACUCAACACGGGAAAUCUCACCAGGUCCGGACACUAGAAGGAUUGACAGAUUGAUAGCUCUUUCUUGAUUUUGUGAAUUGUGGUGCAUGGCCGUUCUUAGUUGGUGGAGUGAUUUGUCUGGUUAAUUCCGAUAACGAACGAGACUCUGUCCUGCUAAAUAGUUGUAUCAUUUUCUGAUGUACAAUCUUCUUAGAGGGACUGGCGGUUAUUAGCCGCACGAGAUGGAGCAAUAACAGGUCUGUGAUGCCCGAAGAUGUUCUGGGCCGCACGCGCGCUACACUGAAGGAAUCAACGUGUUUUCCUUCCCAGAGAUGGGUAGGUAAUCCGUUGAACCUCCUUCGUGGUAGGAAUUGAGGCUUGCAAUUAUUCCUCAUGAACCAGGAAUCCCUAGUAAGUGCACGUCAUAAGCGUGCACUGAUUACGUCCCUGCCUUUUGUACACACCGCCCGUCGCUACUACCGAUUGGAUGUUUUAGUGAGGCAUUUGGAUCGAUUGUGUUUCUUGCUAACGCAAAAAUUGUGCUGAAAAGACUCCCAAACUUGAGCAUCUAGAGGAAGUAAAAGUCGUAA